rnacentral:rRNA from 1 species
GGCAGCAGUGGGGAAUAUUGGACAAUGGGCGAAAGCCUGAUCCAGCCAUGCCGCGUGUGUGAAGAAGGUCUUCGGAUUGUAAAGCACUUUAAGUUGGGAGGAAGGGCAGUAAGUUAAUACCUUGCUGUUUUGACGUUACCGACGGAAUAAGCACCGGCUAACUCUGUGCCAGCAGCCGCG